AGAGUUUGAUCCUGGCUCAGGAUGAACGCCGGCGGUGUGCCUAAUACAUGCAAGUCGUACGCACUGGCCCAACUGAUUGAUGGUGCUUGCACCUGAUUGACGAUGGAUCACCAGUGAGUGGCGGACGGGUGAGUAACACGUAGGUAACCUGCCCCGGAGCGGGGGAUAACAUUUGGAAACAGAUGCUAAUACCGCAUAACAACAAAAGCCACAUGGAUUUUGUUUGAAAGAUGGCUUUGGCUAUCACUCUGGGAUGGACCUGCGGUGCAUUAGCUAGUUGGUAAGGUAACGGCUUACCAAGGCGAUGAUGCAUAGCCGAGUUGAGAGACUGAUCGGCCACAAUGGAACUGAGACACGGUCCAUACUCCUACGGGAGGCAGCAGUAGGGAAUCUUCCACAAUGGGCGCAAGCCUGAUGGAGCAACACCGCGUGAGUGAAGAAGGGUUUCGGCUCGUAAAGCUCUGUUGUUGGAGAAGAACGUGCGUGAGAGUAACUGUUCACGCAGUGACGGUAUCCAACCAGAAAGUCACGGCUAACUACGUGCCAGCAGCCGCGGUAAUACGUAGGUGGCAAGCGUUAUCCGGAUUUAUUGGGCGUAAAGCGAGCGC
rnacentral:rRNA from 1 species